rnacentral:rRNA from 1 species
AUUGAACGCUGGCGGCAGGCCUAACACAUGCAAGUCGAGCGGUAGCACAGAGAGCUUGCUCUCGGGUGACGAGCGGCGGACGGGUGAGUAAUGUCUGGGAAACUGCCUGAUGGAGGGGGAUAACUACUGGAAACGGUAGCUAAUACCGCAUAACGUCGCAAGACCAAAGAGGGGGACCUUCGGGCCUCUUGCCAUCAGAUGUGCCCAGAUGGGAUUAGCUAGUAGGUGGGGUAACGGCUCACCUAGGCGACGAUCCCUAGCUGGUCUGAGAGGAUGACCAGCCACACUGGAACUGAGACACGGUCCAGACUCCUACGGGAGGCAGCAGUGGGGAAUAUUGCACAAUGGGCGCAAGCCUGAUGCAGCCAUGCCGCGUGUAUGAAGAAGGCCUUCGGGUUGUAAAGUACUUUCAGCGGGGAGGAAGGUGUUGAGGUUAAUAACCUCAGCAAUUGACGUUACCCGCAGAAGAAGCACCGGCUAACUCCGUGUCAGCCGCCGCAGUAA